CAUUUAUUCUCUUUGUGCGCCUCUUCAUUAGCCUUCUAAAUCUCAGCCCUCCAUUUUUUCCCUUCAGAACCCACGAUCUCCAUCGUCUCCCACAAACAAAAUUGAUAAACUCCCAUAAACCCACCUUCACCCAUUUCAAUUCUUUUUUAAGCUUGAACCAAAAAUAAUUCUCCAUAACUUCUUUUUCCUUCUUGUCUUAGUUUUUAAGCUUCAGACUAUCUCCUUCACCACCGUUCUUCACCAAACUCUCUUAUCGCCAAGGUCGAUUUCAGGCCACCUUUGGCUCCGAUUUUGUCAAUGGAAGCGGUGCAUCUUUCGUCUUGCGAUUUCUUCUCUGAUUUUCUAAUGUUUACUUCUCAUCUCUAGCCUGAUUCAUCAAUGGAAGCAAGAAUAGCCGACUUAUUUGAUUCGAAUUUUUUUUUUUAAUUUUUUAUCGCAUUCUUCUCCAUUAUACAGAGUAUUGAGAAGUUCAAUUACUGUAUUAAUUUUUUUUUUUAAGUAGAAUUGUAUUAUACGAAAGACUAUAAUACGAGUAUGAGUUAUAAAUUUAGAAUACGUA